rfam:Chelonia mydas contig171215, whole genome shotgun sequence.
CAUUGUGGUGGUUUUCUGCCUGGCGGAUCUGUGACAGUGUCAGAGCGGCCUCAACCUACCACAAAGAGUAUAAAGGAGAAGGACAGUCAUGAAAACUUUUCCAGAACUUUUCAGUUUUCAGUUAUUCUUCCAGCUCCUACAAGG